rnacentral:rRNA from 1 species
UUGAUGCUGACGCGGAGGGACAUUACUGAGUUACCGCUCUAUAACCCUUUGUGAACAUACCUACAACUGUUGCUUCGGCGGGUAGGCCGUCCCCUGAAAAGGACGCCUCCCGGCCCGGACCGGACCCCCCGUGGGGCCGGACUCGGCGCCCGCCGGAGGAUAACCAAACGCUAUUUUAACGACGUUUCUUCUGAGUGGCAUAAGCAAAAUAAUCAAAACUUUUAACAACGGAUCUCUUGGUUCUGGCAUCGAUGAAGAACGCAGCGAAAUGCGAUAAGUAAUGUGAAUUGCAGAAUUCAGUGAAUCAUCGAAUCUUUGAACGCACAUUGCGCCCGCCAGCAUUCUGGCGGGCAUGCCUGUUCGAGCGUCAUUUCAACCCUCAAGCUCUGCUUGGUGUUGGGGCUCUACGGUCGACGUAGGCCCUCAAAGGUAGUGGCGGACCCUCCCGGAGCCUCCUUUGCGUAGUAACAUUUCGUCUCGCACUGGGAUCCGGAGGGACUCUUGCCGUAAAACCCCCCAAUUUUUCAAGGUUGACCUCGGAUCAGGUAGGAAUACCCGCUGAACUUAAGCAUAUCUAAAC